UACGUAGGUGGCGAGCGUUGUCCGGAUUUACUGGGCGUAAAGGGAGCGUAGGCGGACUUUUAAGUGAGAUGUGAAAUACCCGGGCUCAACUUGGGUGCUGCAUUUCAAACUGGAAGUCUAGAGUGCAGGAGAGGAGAAUGGAAUUCCUAGUGUAGCGGUGAAAUGCGUAGAUAUCACAAGGAACACCAGAGGAGAAGUCGGGCGACUGGACAGGUACUGACGCUGAGGCACGAAAGCGUGGGGAGCGAACAGGAUUAGAUACCCUGGUA
rnacentral:rRNA from 1 species